UCAGAUUCUGUGUCUCCCUCUCUCUCUGCCCCUCCCCUGCUCAUGCUCUGUCUCUCUCUGUCUCAAAAAUAAAUAAAACAUUAAAAAAUUAAAAAUAAUAAUAAAAAAAUAAAAAUAGAUUUGAAACAUUUAUAAAGAGAGGUACAAAUUUAUUCUACUCAAAUGCUGAGGAUCUGUAGAACAAAACAAAUAAAUUUCUGCCCUCAUAGAGUGUAUGAUCUUGGAAGUGAGAUGUGAGUAAUAAACUAGACGAAAAAAUUGAUAGGUACUAUAUGUGGUGUGUCAGAUGGUAGUACUUUGUAGAAAAAUAAUGCAAAGGAGGUGGAAAGGAUGGAAUAAAGGUGUUUGGAAGACAGGAGAGAGAAGUUUUUAAAUACUGUGGAGAGAAAAUGCUUGACAAAUGAUUAUUUAGACAAAGAUUUUUAAAACGAUGAGCAAAUUAUUAGGUAUCUGGGAAAAGAGCCUUUCGGGCAGGUGAAAUAACAACUUCAAAGAUCUUCAGGCUGAACCACUUUUGGUGUGUACAAGAAACAGCAAGGAGAUCUGGUUGGGUAUGAUUAAAUACACAAGAAGGGGACGCAUAAUUCAUGGGAUCGAAGAGUCUGUAAGGGCUAGCUAGAUCUUAUGGCUGUUUUCAGCUUUUAGCUUGUUCUGCAGAUUUAAUUUUUCAUACUUCCUUCAGAGAACUUUGACAGCAGUAUGCGUCUCAGCCUAUUUGACCUUUGUAGGUAGAACAGUAUUUUUAUAAAUCUGACUCAAGAUUACAACCUCCAUCAGACACUAUUGUUUAAACAUUUUAAACAAAAUGUUUAAAUAGUUGGUUAAUAGGUACAUGUGUGAUGAUCAGAUUUUUACAAAUUGUGCUUUGAUGGCUCUGAAUUUGUUUUCCACUUGAUCAGUUUAGCUUGUCAAAGCUAACAGCUCCAGGAGACACUAAACUUACUCAUGUUUGUCAUUUACCCAAACAAAUCGCCGCCAUUUGAUGCCUCCAUUCUGGAAUUGAUGUCAUAAUUAAGUAUUUAAUGAUUUAUCACCUGUUCUGUAGCAUCUUAGCUGAAACGUUCUUUGCCUGGAAUUGUUUCAUUCGCUAUGGUGUAUAUCCCACUAACUUAAUCUUCCUAAAACACUGCUUUUGUUUAUAAGGUAAAAUUCAAACUUGUUAGCUUUUGCAUCAUGAUAUUGCCCCAACUCUUCUUCAAGUGAACUAGUCUUGACCCAUCCGUUUUUCUGUUCGCUUUUAUUUAUGCCAUUUCACCACCCCAGUUCUCUCCCAGCUAAUCCCUCCCUGUACGUGGUUAAAAAUGAGCCAGACCUCUUGUGUGUGGUAAAUGUUUCCUGACUUUAACCGUGUGGUAUUAUCCCUCUAUCUUGUGGUAUGAAUGAUUUAUAUCUCUAGUUCUUAGCCUUUUUUUUCCUAACUUAACACACCUGAGGGACAUAAUACUUCAUCAUUAAUUGUGCCUCACUUAGUAAUACAUAUUAACCUUUUAAAUGCAUUAGCCAUAUGAAUAAACAUUUAAAAUUUUAUAAACAAAAUGAAGAAAAGCAAGUGGACUAAAACACCCAGAACUUGAAAACAUCAACCUAAAUAUCAGGUCCCAAAGUUUAAAUACUAAUUUUGUGCUGACGUUGAUAUAGUUGAUUUUUUUCCUCAGUUACAUGAAAAUCUCUUCUCCCUCCCUCCUUCCUUCUGGCCCUCUUUCUCUACUUCCAUUUCCUCCUUCCCUCUCUCUUUCUAUAUCUCAUAUAUAAUUGGGUAUGAACCAUCCAUAUAUAUUUUUAGGAUUUUAGCACAUUUAAAGGAAUGAUAAGUCAUCAUUUUAAUUUUUCAAUAUUGUAAAAGUAAUAAAUACACUCUUAAGUAAUGCAUGUGUUUAUUAUGGUGUUGCUUAUAAUAAUAAAAAUUUGUAAGAGUUUUUAAAGUGUCCAAUAUUAAAAGGCUAAUUAAAUAACAUGCUGAGUGGAAUACUGUGCAGCUACUUAAAAUAAUGUAAUGAAUAUUUGAUCAGCUAGAAAAUUGUUCAUGAUAAAUGUCAGACAGUAUGAACAGACUCGUUAGAAGAAUACAUUUGCUGAACUGUUAAUCACUGGUUUACUACAGGCGUGAGACAAAUCUUAUUAAGAUGAGGAAGGUGGAUCUUAUUUUCAUGAUUAUAAGUAAGCUUUAUGAUUUUUGUGACUUGGGGAAAGUUUGUUUUUGAAAAGGAGAGAGAAAAAUCCUUAAAAAAUAAAAACAAAUAUUUGAAGCACCACCACAUAAUCAUAACCCUUUUGGAAAUUUUGCUGGGUUCAGGAAAUUUAGAAGUGAUAAAAAUUAACUAUCAGGGAAGAACUGAACAGGUAACUUCAAAAAUCAGAUAAUUUAAAAAUCAGCUGUAGGGGAGCAAUCUCUGUGUUCUCAAAGGAGGGUUGAAAGGAAUUCAAAAAUCACAUCUUGAAUUCAUUGUUGAGUGCUUUUGCUGUCAUUUCUCCACUCUUCAAAACUUCAAAAGAUUAGUAAAUCUGAGUUUAUGGGAAGAUGCAUCUUGUUUACCCUUUGGCUUCUUCUACCACGCCUGCAUGCCAACCCCAACGGUACCUUUCCAUUGUGUGAGAAGCAUUCUGAGGCAAGGGAAGUCAUUGAAGGUUUUUCGGCAGGAAAGAAAAAUAACUACUGAAAUAUGUAUACUGGCCCAAGAUUUGCUCAGAGAGAAAUCUAAGACUGGUGUACUAAGUUAUGAAUUUGUUUCUUUUGUAUCUCCAUAACCACAUCAAAUUUACCAAAAACCUGAGCUGUUCUAAAAUUGUGGAAUUCAUAUUUGAUAUUCAAAAAACAUUAAUAUGGACAUUUCGUGCAAAACAUGACUAAAGUUACCAAUAUGUAAACCUAACACAAAUGUAUGAGUUCUAGUGUAUGACCUUUCUGUUACUGUGACCCAUUUAGAAUGUAAGCAAAAUAUGGUAUGUCUCAACCUGGUUUUUUCACAUGCAAAUAUUUUAUAAUUUGAAACUCUUAAGAACAGUGGUAGUUCAAUUUAGAAAAGCAGGUUUAGAACCUGAAAACACGUUGGCUAAUACGGUAAAGAAAAUACAUUUGGGGAGAAUCUAAAAAUCUUUACCUGUGGAGAGGAAUAUUUGUCACCAGAACAGGCCUGUGGUGCAGAUUUCAGGUCAGACCCUGUUGUGCCACUAGGGUCUGCAUUUUAGUGGUUUAUUGCAUCCUCUGGGGGAAAAAAAAAAAAAAACACCCAAAAGUAAAGCCUCUGGUCGAUAAUAAGCUAUUGUACUGUUUUUUAAAUUAGUGAUUCUUAGAUGUGUUUACCUCUAAAACUCAAGGUAUUUGGACCUUUAAAAAUUGAUGACUUACUCAUUUUAGAAAGUUUACAUAGUCACACUCUUCAGGAAAAGUUUGUGAUGGUUUUACUGUAUUUCCCAUAUUGAUUAAGGAACUAAAUACCCCCUCGCCCAAAAAAGAUAAUUUCUUCUGUGUAUUUCCCCCCCCCCCCCCCAACAAUACUAGGUAGCCUUGGUUUCUGGAUAGCCAAGUUGGAUUAUUUAAUUUGGAAUUUAGGUAAACUUUGGACACAUUUCAAAACUAGCAUGAAAAUUGAUUUAUUUAGGUUGACCUAUUACACGCUAAUAAACACUUGUUCCCCCAAACCAGUGUUGAUUGGAAGUCUUGGUAUGUAUGACUCAUGUCAGGACACAUGUAGAGUAUGGAUGUGAACCAACUGGAGUGCAUUCAGAAAAUUGAAAAAUAUGAGGUGCUCAGAUCUCACAAGGAAUGGUUGAAGGUACUGAGGAGCUUCCAAGCUUCCUUGAAAAAGAGAAGACAAGUAACAAUCUGAGGCUUGUGCAUUUUGUUUUCACCUGGAGGGCAAAACCGGGGAGUUUCAGGGAUGUGCAAGGGCUUUCUGCUGACUUUGAAUGUGUGCAUUAGGGAAGUGGACUGCUUUGCCAAGACCCUCAAAAGUGAUGAAAUGGGGUUGGGGUAGUUAGUAAGAUUUAAAGAUACUGUUUGGAAUGAAGAAAAUGAGUACACAUCAUCUUAAGUCCUUGCCUUUAAAAUGUAAGACCAUUUGUGCCAACAGGACAACUUUUGACUAAAGGAAAUCAUAGGGAAACAUGGAUUUUGUUUUGCUUUUGGACAGUUUUUACUGAUAAUGAUCAUUGUUUUAACAGACCUGGCAGCAUCUAAGGAAGGUACUCUAAGAAGUUCAAGAUCAAGGUUUCCAGAAACAUAUCACUUGUCUGAGAACUAUGAAAUAAAAAUGUUAAAUACUAAGAGAACAUAAUUUUUAAGUAUUAAAAGCUUUUAUAAAUUGGCA